rnacentral:rRNA from 1 species
GACGGAAGGUGCAAGCGUUGCUCGGAAUCACUGGGCGUAAAGAGCUCGUAGGCGGUUCAGUUAGUCGGGUGUGAAAUCUCCGGGCUCAACCCGGAGGGGCCACCCGAUACUGCUGUGACUCGAGUCCGGUAGGGGAGUGGGGAAUUCCUGGUGUAGCGGUGAAAUGCGCAGAUAUCAGGAGGAACACCGGUGGCGAAGGCGCCACUCUGGGCCGGUACUGACGCUGAGGAGCGAAAGCGUGGGUAGCAAACAGG